CCUGUACUCCCUCCGUCCGGAAAAGCUUGUCCCAAACUUGUCUUUCAAAUGGAUAUAUGUAGCAUUAACUUGCUGCUAGAUACAUCCAUUUGAGGAUAAGCUUUUUCGGACGGAGGAAGUACUUU
rfam:Triticum urartu cultivar G1812 contig412796, whole genome shotgun sequence.